GCCAGCGUAGCUCAACCGGGAGAGCGAUUGAUUUGUAAUCAAUAGGUUGAGGGUUCGAGUCCCUCCGCUGGCUCCA
rnacentral:tRNA from 2 species